CAUGGCUCAGAUUGAACGCUGGCGGCAGGCCUAACACAUGCAAGUCGAGCGGAUGACAGGAGCUUGCUCCUGAAUUCAGCGGCGGACGGGUGAGUAAUGCCUAGGAAUCUGCCUGGUAGUGGGGGACAACGUUUCGAAAGGAACGCUAAUACCGCAUACGUCCUACGGGAGAAAGCAGGGGACCUUCGGGCCUUGCGCUAUCAGAUGAGCCUAGGUCGGAUUAGCUAGUUGGUGAGGUAAUGGCUCACCAAGGCGACGAUCCGUAACUGGUCUGAGAGGAUGAUCAGUCACACUGGAACUGAGACACGGUCCAGACUCCUACGGGAGGCAGCAGUGGGGAAUAUUGGACAAUGGGCGAAAGCCUGAUCCAGCCAUGCCGCGUGUGUGAAGAAGGUCUUCGGAUUGUAAAGCACUUUAAGUUGGGAGGAAGGGCAUUAACCUAAUACGUUAGUGUUUUGACGUUACCGACAGAAUAAGCACCGGCUAACU
rnacentral:rRNA from 1 species